rnacentral:rRNA from 1 species
ACCACUUCGGUGGGGAUUAGUGGCGAACGGGUGAGUAACACGUGGGCAAUCUGCCCUUCACUCUGGGACAAGCCCUGGAAACGGGGUCUAAUACCGGAUAACACUUCCGUCCUCCUGGACGGUGGUUAAAAGCUCCGGCGGUGAAGGAUGAGCCCGCGGCCUAUCAGCUUGUUGGUGAGGUAAUGGCUCACCAAGGCGACGACGGGUAGCCGGCCUGAGAGGGCGACCGGCCACACUGGGACUGAGACACGGCCCAGACUCCUACGGGAGGCAGCAGUGGGGAAUAUUGCACAAUGGGCGAAAGCCUGAUGCAGCGACGCCGCGUGAGGGAUGACGGCCUUCGGGUUGUAAACCUCUUUCAGCAGGGAAGAAGCGAAAGUGACGGUACCUGCAGAAGAAGCGCCGGCUAACUACGUGCCAGCAGCCGCGGUAAUACGUAGGGCGCAAGCGUUGUCCGGAAUUAUUGGGCGUAAAGAGCUCGUAGGCGGCUUGUCACGUCGGUUGUGAAAGCCCGGGGCUUAACCCCGGGUCUGCAGUCGAUACGGGCAGGCUAGAGUGUGGUAGGGGAGAUCGGAAUUCCUGGUGUAGCGGUGAAAUGCGCAGAUAUCAGGAGGAACACCGGUGGCGAAGGCGGAUCUCUGGGCCAUUACUGACGCUGAGGAGCGAAAGCGUGGGGAGCGAACAGGAUUAGAUACCCUGGUAGUCCACGCCGUAAACGGUGGGAACUAGGUGUUGGCGACAUUCCACGUCGUCGGUGCCGCAGCUAACGCAUUAAGUUCCCCGCCUGGGGAGUACGGCCGC